rnacentral:rRNA from 1 species
AUGUCGAGCGACAGCGAGGAUGACAGUUCCGCCAGUGGUCUGGCGCCCGAUGAUAGGUCAACAUCGGAAUCAUCCCGCUCGUCUUCCAUGAGUCCGCCAGAAUCGUCAGACGACAACCAAACGGACGAGGAGCCGUCGGAGGACAAAGAAGAGGACGACGAUGAUGAUAAGGAGGAAUGGUCGAACGAGGAGGAGGACGACGACGACAGCAACGACGAUGACGACGGCGGCGGCGAUGAAAAGCCAACAGUCAGCGGCAAGAAGCGUCCUCGCCAAGACAAUGUCGCGGGGCCAUCCAACAACAACAACAAGAAGCAGAAGGACUAA